CGGGGGGCUGCAGCAGUGGGGAAUAUUGGACAAUGGGGGAAACCCUGAUCCAGCAAUGCCGCGUGUGUGAAGAAGGCCUGCGGGUUGUAAAGCACUUUCGGUUGGGAGGACUGCUUCUAGCACUAAUAUUGUUGGAAGUUGACGUUACCUUCAGAAGAAGCACCGGCUAACUCCGUGCCAGCAGCCGCGGUAAUACGGAGGGUGCAAGGGCUAAUCGGAAUUACUGGGCGUAAAGCGCGCGUAGGCGGCUAGAUCAGUCGGGUGUGAAGGCCCCGGGCUUAACCUGGGAACUGCAUCCGAUACUGUCUAGCUUGAGUACAGGAGAGGAGAGUGGAAUUCCACAUGUAGCGAUGAAAUGCGUAGAUAUGUGGAGGAACACCAAUGGCGAAGGCAGCUCUCUGGCCUGAUACUGACGCUGAGGUGCGAAAGCGUGGGGAGCAAACAGGAUUAGAUACCCCGGUAGUC
rnacentral:rRNA from 1 species